GCGUCGCCGAUCUGUCGAAAGCUCGGCAGAGUUCGCCAGCAGGUUCUCACGGUGCAGGAGCCGGAUACCCCGUGGCAUUUGCACUCCGUCUGCAGCAGCGAUUUCACUAUCUGCCACGGACGAGCAACAAAAGCCUGGCUUUACAAACGCUCCUUCGUUCUUUUAUCGUACGCGGACCGCGAGCACGCGCCUUCGCGUUAAUACGCCUUCCAUCUGGCUCCGCGCCAACGAAUUUACGCGUCCGCGCUGGCUCGCUGCCCGCGGGACUCCUAAAGUCGCCUAAUUGAUAGGCGAGCGCACCAAGCCGGCUUCGCGCUGGCGACACCGUUACCGUGCAUCCUCUCCUCGCUAGAACUUGCCACGGAGUUCGGGGCGACGGGCACGCGCUAAUUGAACACGGCGCGGGCAAAUUAAUUGGCGCGCGCCGGAGAAAAGAGCGGAGAUGCGGCUUCCGUGGGCCGAGGUCUUUUGCCGGCGCGCGAGAGGACAAAAGCGCGUGCGCGCGCGCGCGCGCGCGACGCUAACCGAGAGGAAUAAGAGACGAGCGCGCGCUAAGAAGGAAAGAGAGGAUUCAGGAGAAAGGAAGAUACGCCUUUCCAGAUUAUCGCUCGGCGCGCACAGCCUCGAGGAUAUCUGCGUUGCGAAACGGCGAAAAAUGGUUUUGUUUCCAGAAUGUCCCCGGAAUGGCACUCGACGUGCGCGCGCGCGAAUUCACGCUGAGUCGAGCGAAAUUUCGAAGCUUAUCGCACGUUCGACUCGAGGUCGCCGGCAGGUUUUUGUUUGUCUGUCUGUCUGUCUUGCCUCGCGCCGCGCUCCCAUUGUCGCAAUCGGCAGCUCCUCUUCCCGCGAGCGGCAGCCGAUCGGCGCGCGUGCAUUCCAGUCAGAAUUGCGACGACGAUGAAGGCUUUGGCUUUCGCGUGGCUGUGUCUCGUCGUGUUGUCAGUUGCGGCAGCCGACGAUCCGAUGGUUGGCGUCGACCCGUGCACGAGAGGACCGGCGUACUGGUGCAAAUCCGCCACGACUGCCAAGGAAUGCGACAUGGUCGACUACUGCAAUGAGUGGAGCUCGGAGAAAAAGCGAUCCAGUUUCUAACUCAUGCGCACACGGACACGGGCGCACUUGUACACUUCUACACGACUAUGUUGUAAAAUGUUUUCUCCGUCUGGCAUUAUGAAGCUAAUAUAUACGCGCACAUUAAGUGAUAAGUCGGAAUUUUAUUAGCGUGUCCAAUAACACUUUCGCGUUUCCACGAUCGAUUAAGCACUCGCGGGGGGUAGGAGGCUGGGUAACGAUCGCAUCGGGCGCCUCUCUCGCGUGGAUCAUGCGCGAUCGAGUGGCUGCCAGUCGACCGACGAGACAGGGCCGAAGCAUCGACCCACGUCGGAGGGCACACUCGCAACGAUCGC